UACGUAGGGUGCAAGCGUUAAUCGGAAUUACUGGGCGUAAAGCGUGCGCAGGCGGUUGUGCAAGACAGAUGUGAAAUCCCCGGGCUCAACCUGGGAACUGCAUUUGUGACUGCACGGCUGGAGUGCGGCAGAGGGGGAUGGAAUUCCGCGUGUAGCAGUGAAAUGCGUAGAUAUGCGGAGGAACACCGAUGGCGAAGGCAAUCCCCUGGGCCUGCACUGACGCUCAUGCACGAAAGCGUGGGGAGCGAAACAAGGAUUGAGAAACCCUACGGGUAGUCCAGACCCAAGAUCCAU
rnacentral:rRNA from 1 species